rnacentral:rRNA from 1 species
GACGGAGGAGGCAAGCGUUAACCGGAAUUAUUGGGCGUAAAGGGUACGUAGGCGGCUGGUCAAGUCUGGGGUGAAAGGCCAGAGCUCAACUUUGGGAAGGCCCUGGAAACUGACCGGCUAGAGUGAGGUAGGGGAUGCGGGAAUUCCCGGUGUAGCGGUGAAAUGCGUAGAGAUCGGGAAGAACACCAGUGGCGGAAGCGCGCAUCUGGCCCUCAACUGACGCUUAGGUACGAAAGCUUGGGGAGCGAAGGGG